UACAGAGGGUGCGAGCGUUAAUCGGAAUUACUGGGCGUAAAGCGCACGUAGGUGGCGACGUAAGUCGGGUGUGAAAGCCCCGGGCUCAACCUGGGAAUUGCAUUCGAGACUGCAUUGCUGGAGUACGGAAGAGGAAGGCGGAAUUCCCGGUGUAGCGGUGAAAUGCGUAGAGAUGUGGAGGAACACCGAUGGCGAAGGCAGCCCCCUGGGUCAAGAUUGACGCUCAUGCACGAAAGCGUGGGGAGCAAACAGG
rnacentral:rRNA from 1 species